AGUGAACGCUGGCGGUAGGCCUAACACAUGCAAGUCGAACGGCAGCACAGUAAGAGCUUGCUCUUACGGGUGGCGAGUGGCGGACGGGUGAGGAAUACAUCGGAAUCUACUUUUUCGUGGGGGAUAACGUAGGGAAACUUGCGCUAAUACCGCAUACGACCUACGGGUGAAAGCAGGGGAUCUUCGGACCUUGCGCGAUUGAAUGAGCCGAUGUCGGAUUAGCUAGUUGGCGGGGUAAAGGCCCACCAAGGCGACGAUCCGUAGCUGGUCUGAGAGGAUGAUCAGCCACACUGGGACUGAGACACGGUCCAGACUCCUACGGGAGGCAGCAGUGGGGAAUAUUGGACAAUGGGCGCAAGCCUGAUCCAGCCAUACCGCGUGGGUGAAGAAGGCCUUCGGGUUGUAAAGCCCUUUUGUUGGGAAAGAAAAGCAGCAGGUUAAUACCCCGCUGUUCUGACGGUACCCAAAGAAUAAGCACCGGCUAACUUCGUG
rnacentral:rRNA from 1 species